GCUCCUGAAUCCCCCUGUGGUUGGCGGUUGCAGUAAAACAUAAAUAUAUACUACAUACUGUAUAUUUUUUUAUUUCUCCGGGGCCCAGGGGCAAUAGCCCAGAGCCAGAGAGGGAAAAUCACUUUCAUCUGGAGAAGCUCGUCCGUUAACACGGGGCGGCCCAUCUGCAGCUCCCCGCUGUUCCUAAAAGAAAGAUUAAGGAUUUGAGUUGGCCUGACGGAGAGAUCUUCCAGGCGACUCCGGCCCAUGGAGGAUGCAGAGCAUCACAUCAGAUCAAACAUUGAUAAACCAGUACUUUACCAGCGUUUUAUCAAUAUCUUUAAAGGACGGGGAGUUUUUGCCACUGAAUUCAUAUCCAAAGGAGACUUUGUUGUGGAGUACCGAGGUGAACUGCUUACACAACAGGAGGGCGAGGUCCGAGCUGAUCAGUACAAUGAUUCUGCAAAGGUGUUUCUUUUCGAUUUCCAAUGGAAAGGAAGAACAUGGUGCAUUGAUGCAUCUGAAGAAGACUCCUCCCUUGGGAGACUCGUUAAUGAUGAUCACUAAAGACUCAAUCUCAAAAUGAAGGCCAUACAAGC